rnacentral:rRNA from 1 species
CCUACGGGGGACAGCAGUGGGGAAUAUUGGACAAUGGGGGAAACCCUGAUCCAGCCACGCCGCGUGAGUGAAGAAGUCUUUCGGUAUGGAAAGCUCUAUCAGCAGGGAAGAAAGAAAUGACGGUACCUGACUGAGAAGCCCCGGCUAACUACGUGGCAGCAGGCGCGGUAAUACGUAGGGGGCAAGUGUUAUCCGGAUUUAGUGGGGGUAAAGGGAGCGUGGACGGCGAUGCAAGUCUGAAGUGAAAGGCGGGGGCCUAACCUCCGGACUGCUUUGGAAACUGUAUGGCUGGAGUGCAGGAGAGGUAAGUGGAAUGCCUAGUGUAGCGGUGAAAUGCGUAGAUAUUAGGCGGAACCCCAGUUGCGAAGGCGGCUUACCGGAGCGUAACUGACGUUGAGGCUCGAAAGCGUGGGGAGCAAACAGGAUUAGAUACCCGGGUAGUC